AUGUACCACUCGUACACUGCGGUUCCUGCGCGCCGUCCGCGCCCACCUGACGGCUGCUCGCAGGUAAUUCCGAAAAGAUCAAGGGCC
rnacentral:sRNA from 1 species